CCACUUGGACCAGCAGGACCAGGAAGUCCUACAGGACCUUGUACUCCAUCACGUCCAGCUGGACCUUGAGGACCUUUUUCACCCUGGUUUUGAAGAAAAGGAAGUGAUGCACGUUAUCACAGGAGUUUAAUUAAGCUUUCAGUGCAGGAGCACCCUUCUCCCCUGCAGGGCCUGGAGGACCUUGAGGUCCAGGACGACCUGGUAGACCAAUUGGACCAGCAGUGCCUGCUGCUCCACGUUCUCCUGCACCUGGGAGGCCUUGUUCACCUGGUGGGCCAGGAGGACCUGGAUGACCUCUUUCACCAAUUGGGCCAGUCUCACCAGUAGGACCCUAAGCACAAAGGUAAACUCCAGUCAAAAGGUUUUGAAUGUCUAGAGGGGGCAGAUUCUCAAUAUCCAGCUGUUCUGAGUGAGUUACAGAACAAUACUGGUUAGCAUACAUUCCUCACCUUCCCCUCCAGGCAAAACUGACUUACAAAAUAUUUUUGUCCUAUAAAAUAAAUCUUGCAUUGCCUUUUGCCUGUGGACAUGCCUGAACAGUUUCCACAGAUUGAAAUCUUGACCUUGCUCCUUAGGCGAUGAAGCUUAAAACACAAUGCAUUUCCACACAUGGGAGGAGGUUACAAAAGUGUAUGUAUGGUAAAUUCAUGUACUGUGCUUGUCCUGAAACACUGCCUGUACUGUUUCUCUAUAUAACAUGAAUUGUAAGGUGAGAGAGUUGAAAGAUUCCUCUCUAGAUGCACGAGUAGAACACUUUCACUAAAGAAAUUAUCUAUAAAAAAUUCAGGCAAUCCAAAUGUCUGUUUUUUCU